AGGGUUUGAUUCUGGCUCAGGAUGAACGCUAGCGGCAGGCCUAACACAUGCAAGUCGAGGGGCAGCACGGGGUAGCAAUACUCUGGUGGCGACCGGCGCACGGGUGCGUAACGCGUAUGCAACCUACCCAUAACAGGGGGAUAACACUGAGAAAUUGGUACUAAUAUCCCAUAACAUCCGGAACGGCAUCGUUCUGGGUUGAAAACUCCGGUGGUUAUGGAUGGGCAUGCGUUGUAUUAGCUAGUUGGUGAGGUAACGGCUCACCAAGGCAACGAUACAUAGGGGGACUGAGAGGUUAACCCCCCACAUUGGUACUGAGACACGGACCAA
rnacentral:rRNA from 1 species